rnacentral:lncRNA from 1 species
GUGUGCCAAGGAGGUUUGGUGGCUGAUCAUAAGCCACAUAGAUCUAAGUCCCAAAGCAGAAGCACUUUUGUCCAUCUGCUUGCCAAAAAGAAGUGGGCAUGUGCCCCUUCUCAACUUGCACAAAGAGUCCUUAACUAAAUAGACUCUUGGUUUUUGGCAUUAACAAGACUUGAGGCACCCCCUUUUGGGCUGCCUCCAGGUGGCUCAACCUAACCCAAAUACUCAUCAAAUUGAAUUAGUCAAUUAGCAAGGAUUGAGACCAAAUUUGAUCUCCCAA